AUUCAUAGAGAAGCUCCAAGAAGUGUUGGACGGUAACCGUGCAGUGACCAUAGUGUUGGACGACCCCGCUGGUAACUCGUAUGUUCAGAGCUUGGCCGACGACCCGACCACACCAGACGAAGGUGUUAAGAUAACGAGAUACGAGCGCUCACACGAACAGAACGAGGAGCUAGGACUCAAUGAUAUGAAGACUGAAGGAUACGAGGAAAGCUAGCGGGCGUCAUUACGUUUUAAUGUAUUUUAACCCAAGCAGAGAAUAAAUAUAUUUGUUUAUU